UACGUAGGUCCCGAGCGUUGUCCGGAUUUAUUGGGCGUAAAGCGAGCGCAGGUGGUUUAUUAAGUCUGGUGUAAAAGGCAGUGGCUCAACCAUUGUAUGCAUUGGAAACUGGUAGACUUGAGUGCAGGAGAGGAGAGUGGAAUUCCAUGUGUAGCGGUGAAAUGCGUAGAUAUAUGGAGGAACACCGGUGGCGAAAGCGGCUCUCUGGCCUGUAACUGACACUGAGGCUUGAAAGCGUGGGGAGCAAACAGG
rnacentral:rRNA from 1 species